UUUUCCUACGGGGGGCAGCAGUGAGGAAUAUUGGUCAAUGGGCGGGAGCCUGAACCAGCCAAGUCGCGUGAGGGAUGACGGUCCUACGGAUUGUAAACCUCUUUUGCCGGGGAGCAAGCGUGCGUUCGUGAACGCGCGUCGAGAGUACCCGGAGAAAAAGCAUCGGCUAACUCCGUGCCAGCAGCCGCGGUAAUACGGAGGAUGCGAGCGUUAUCCGGAUUUAUUGGGUUUAAAGGGUGCGUAGGCGGGAGGCCAAGUCAGCGGCAAAAAUGGGGUGCUCAACGCCGCC
rnacentral:rRNA from 1 species